GAUGAACGCUGGCGGCGUGCCUAAUACAUGCAAGUCGAGCGAACAGACGAGGAGCUUGCUCCUCUGACGUUAGCGGCGGACGGGUGAUUAACACGUGGAUAACCUACCUAUAAGACUGGGAUAACUUCGGGAAACCGGAGCUAAUACCGGAUAAUAUAUUGAACCGCAUGGUUCAAUAGUGAAAGACGGUUUUGCUGUCACUUAUAGAUGGAUCCGCGCCGCAUUAGCUAGUUGGUAAGGUAACGGCUUACCAAGGCAACGAUGCGUAGCCGACCUGAGAGGGUGAUCGGCCACACUGGAACUGAGACACGGUCCAGACUCCUACGGGAGGCAGCAGUAGGGAAUCUUCCGCAAGGGGCGAAAGCCUGACGGAGCAACGCCGCGUGAGUGAUGAAGGUCUUCGGAUCGUAAAACUCUGUUAUUAGGGAAGAACAAAUGUGUAAGUAACUAUGCACGUCUUGACGGUACCUAAUCAGAAAGCCACGGCUAACUACGUG
rnacentral:rRNA from 1 species